CACAAACCAUGAGAUCGUGAUCUGAGCUGUAAGUUGGACAGACGCUAUAACUGACUGAGCCACCCAGGCACCACUUCUUGACAACUUUUAAUGUUGAUAUGAUUUUAUACCUUCAAAAAAUUGCAAGACUUGUACAAGGAACUCCCAAAUAGCAUUUUCCAUAUUCACCAGCUGUCUGUACUUGCCCCAUCAAUUUACUUUACCAUUCUCUCUCAUACACACACACACACACACACACACACACACACAGAACACUAUUUGAGAGUGUGUUGUGCACACCUUUCCCCGUACCAAUUAAUGUUUGAGUGGCAUUUCCAAAGAAGAAGGACAUUCUCUUACAUGCUAGGUUUUGUUGAAAAUGGGAGCAAUUUGGGCAUAUUGAAAAAUCUAAGUGAAGAUCCAGUGGGAGAGAAGUGAGAGAAGGGGUUGUUGUCACUGAGGGCUUGUUGAAGGGUCUAGAGAGCAGGAUUUAAGGUGCAGGUGGAGGGUUGGACUUUGCCACAGGAGGGACAGCUCUGUGUUGUGAAGAGGAGUGAAGCAGUGUGCAGACGUCGGAGACUUUGUUCUGCUUGACGGGUGGUGGAGGAAGUUCCUCUCUGCUGGAUUCUGUUUCCUUUGUCAGUUAGGAAGUGAGCAGAUCUACUGAAAAGAGCAGGAAGGCGUGUGACAGAUGGGAAGCGUCUGAGUUGAAGAAGACAGGAGAAAGCACAAGAGUCAAGGAGAGGGGAAGAGGAAGUAAUGAGAUAAACAUCUCAAGAUUCAUGUGGCCAAACAGCCCAUUUCUAGUUGAUGUUUAUUCAGUUAGAGUGAGCCAGCUUGCUCUAUUCAGUGACUCAUGUCUAGCCCUGCAGAGGGGGGAGAGAAACUGUGUUCAUCUACGCGAGGGUUUUGCCAAAUGGGUGUGAUAAAAGAACACAAUGGUUCGGGAAGGGAAGUUUAGGGUACUGACAAGAUAAUGGACUAUAAAAUACACUGGAUAAGAAUGAAAGAAGUAAGAUGGCUACUGAAUGGGAAAUAGAAGGGCAAAUGGAUAGGAGGUAGACUGGGAAGAUGGAAGCCUGUAAAUUGUUUUCUAAUUAUUACUACUUGACUUAUUGGAUCUAGAUAUUAUUGAGCAUGCAUUCUCUACUGAGUAUUUUCCAUCCAUUAAUUUCAUAUAAUUCCUAUGACAACCCUAUGAGGUAAGCACAGGCAUCAAGCCAUUUUUAUCGAUAGAGGAAACAGACGUUAGUGACUUGCCCAAGGUGACACAGCUAAAAAGUGAGUCUCUAACUUCAGAGACCCUGCGUAUCUCUGGACUGCUCUGCAGAGCUUCCCAGCUGUGCUCCUUGCUCCACUUUGAUCCUCCUCUGACUCACGCUUCACUUAGCUAACAGUGUGAGCAUUUGGAAAUGCAAAUUGAUUGUACCGGGCACUAACUCAGAACCUUUCAUUACAGGUCACUGGAAAUAGGUAAAAAAAAGAAGAAUUAAAGAUGAAUAAAGACUUGGACAGGGAGGGAAGACCUUUGGCUGAAAAAAGAGAUGCAGCUAAACAGCUUUUUAUCUGAGGACCCUGACUGACUUGGAUUUAUAGAAGCCUCCAGAGCAGUGUUUGUUAACACGAGGGGAGAAGGAAGAGACACAGAUGCCUGUGGCGGAGGUGUUUGAUGAAACUUCAGGCUUGGUUGGCUAAUGUAAUAUGUGUGAAGAGACAGGAUGUGCUUGCUUCUUUGGGAACCUUGAUCCCUCUGCUUCUUUCAGAAGCAAUCAGCUGCUUGCUCUCUUGGCUCACUCUCUGCAUGGGCGAAUGUCCACAACAGCAUGCGACCAUUGUCCUCAAACGAGGAAUCUUGCCAGGCCUCUCUGUUGAUUUGUUUUUAUACACACCCUAUCUUUGCCUGAUAGGGUGGUCCUUUGGGCUGUGCAGACACCGGAGGCUGGGAGGUCUGGGAGGUGGGUUCAUUCCAGACUGGCAUUUUCUAGAUGAAGUUUCUUUGGGCAAGUUACUCGACUUCUCUCUGUGUCUGACUGUCUGAUUGUAAAUGAGGGUCGUGGUAGGAUUGCCUGCUUCAUGGGGCUAUUGCAGAUGAAGCUCUUCGCACAGUGCUUGGCACCCAACAAGCACUGGAUAAAUGUUAUCUACCCUUAUUAUUAUACUGUUCCUGUUAUUCUGAAAUUGCUUGUUUCAUUCAAACAUAUGUCUUUGAGAUCUUUCAGGGUCCAACUGUCAUCUUAACAGCUGUACAGUAUUCCAUAAUUUGGAAUACCACCCCCUCCGAAAACUAUUCCUUCUCUAACGCAGUUAGAUAAACUAACCCGGUCAUUAAAGCUGCCAUUCCUCAUUGACUCUCUUUCUCUUUAGCCCCUUUGCCUGUUCAGUGAUGAAGUUCUACUCUCAUUUUAGUUCCUACAUAUGUUCUUAAUCUGCCCCCUGCUCUUGAUUACCCUACCCUAGUUCACAUGCUCCUUGUCUCUCACCAGGACCAUGGCAGCUGAAUGAAUUCCUGUUGCUUCUAAGAUUGCUGGCCACUGGGCUGAAGCCCUAUAAAGUCAUCUCCCAUCCAGCUGCCAAAUCUGCAGAUCUGACCGUGUAAACUCCUCUGCAUGGCACAUGGCGGCCCACGGCAGUCAUGACGCGUGGUGUUGGCUACAAUAUGAUUUAUUGAUUACAGAAAUUUAUGAGGCAGAGAGUUGCAGAGGGUUUAGGCUCUCCCCAGGCCCGUAGUUAUUUUAUAGAGAGGUGGGCAGAGCUGAAUGCACUGUAAAGAACCUUCCAACAGAGAAUCCAGUACCCACAAGUAGAUCGGGGUCUACCUGGGGAGGGAGGAUGAGGAACACCUAAUUUUAUUUUAUUUUAUUUUAUUUU